AGCGAACGCUGGCGGCAGGCCUAACACAUGCAAGUCGAACGAAGUCUUCGGACUUAGUGGCGGACGGGUGAGUAACACGUGGGAACGUACCUUUCGGUUCGGAACAACUCAGGGAAACUUGAGCUAAUACCGGAUGAGCCCUUAGGGGGAAAGAUUUAUCGCCGAAAGAGCGGCCCGCGUUAGAUUAGAUAGUUGGUGCGGUAAAGGCUCACCAAGGCUACGAUCUAUAGCUGGUCUGAGAGGAUGCUCAGCCACACUGGGACUGAGACACGGCCCCGACUCCUACUGGAGGCAGCAGUGUCGAAUCUUGCGCAAUGGGCGAAAGCCUGACGCAGCCAUGCAUCGUGAAUGAUGAAGGUCUUAGGAUUGUAAAAUUCUUUUACCAGGGACGAUAAUGGCGGUACCUGGAGAAAAAGCCCCGGCUAACUUCGUGCCAGCCGCCGCGGUAAAAC
rnacentral:rRNA from 1 species